AUGCAAAUGCAAGAAAUGGAAAAUAUACAAAGCCAACUUAAGAAUUUAGAAGUAAUAACGCGUUUAGGACAUGCGAAAGCUGCAUAUGGCACAAUAGAACAAUCCAUCAAUACUGCCUGGAACGAGUAUGAAAAGUUGAAGGAGCGAAACGAUGUAUCUGAAAUGAAGAAAUAUUUUGAUGAUUAUGAAUCCUCACACGCCAACCACAACCUGUUUCAGCUAUAUUCUUUAAUGCCAAAGAAAGUAUCUUUAUUUGGGAGUUUACCUAACACCUUCAUUGAGGAGUCUCGCUGUCAUAAUGCAGAGCUUGAUAAUUUCAAUCGCAAUUUCAAUGAUCUCAUGGUCAAAAGCCUUGUCCUGAAUGUACGCUUGUUUCGAUAUAAAGGUGAUGAAUUGAACAAAGGAAAGAUUGUUGAAGCCGUGCAUUACUACCACGACGGCAUGAGGAAACUCUACAAAGCCCAGUGGAUAUGCUUUGAUCAUGACACAACGUACAUCGAGCUAGAUUUACAAGAUGAGAUGAUCACUCAAAGCAACACUGAAGCAGAUAAUAUUGCUGCGGCCAUCACGAAGCAUUUGUCAGAAGCGUAUAGCAGCUAUGACUGGUAUGUGGUUGUGCACAAGACAACCUAUGACAUCUUGACAUAUUUGCAGAAACAUACCCUAUCCGAAGAGUUCAUUAUGAAAAUUGGACCAGCGCUGACUGUAGCUGCAGCUCAGCAGAUUAGAGGCUCUCACACGAAGGUAUCAGAAAUUGUACUGGACAUUAAAAAAUGUCUAAGCAGAGGCCAGGUAGUAUGCAGUAGUCUGAACAAGAAAUUCAAAAGCUGUGAAUUAUUGGAUAAGUUCACAGUGAUUCAUUACUAUAGAUAUUUGAGCAAUAGUGGUAAGGAGAAAAUUACUGAGGCUGAAAGUGAUCCAGUUGUAGAUUCCGUUGACAACACCGAGGGGCCUUACAUAUACAAGGGGACAUGUAGCAGUACUUCUCACUUUAUCGUGAUGAUAAAGAGUGACGAGGAGAUCCUGAACGCCAAUCGCUGUUCCCCGACACUGUGUCAGAAUGGGGGCCAGUGUAAGGCCCUGUUUGCUCGGACUGUAUGUGACUGCAAGUACCCAUACCAUGGAGACAAAUGUGAGUGGGAGAUUGUUUACCCAGAGAAGGACGUCGUCAUUGUUAAAAAAAAGGAUGUGGAUGAGGCUCCUCCAGUUCCCCUAAGACCCCUUAACAGACUGCUGGCUAAAGCAAGUACCUAUAUCAAGGAAACACAAGUGAGGAGGUGA
rnacentral:lncRNA from 1 species